rnacentral:rRNA from 1 species
GCGUCGGCGGCGUGCCUAAUACAUGCAAGUCGAGCGGUAAGGCCCUUCGGGGUACACGAGCGGCGGACGGCUGAGUAACGCGUGGGAACAUGCCCCAAAGUGAGGGAUAACGCACCGAAAGGUGUGCUAAUACCGCAUAUGGUCUUCGGAUUAAAGGAUUUAUCCGCUUUGGGAGUGGCCCGCGUACGAUUAGAUUGUUGGUGAGGUAACGGCUCACCAAGUCGACGAUCGUUAACUGGUCUGAGAGGAUGAUCAGUCAGACUGGAACUGAGACACGGUCCAGACUCCUACGGGAGGCAGCAGUAAGGAAUCUUCCACAAUGGGCGAAAGCCUGAUGGAGCAACGCCGCGUGCAGGAUGAAGGCCCUCGGGUCGUAAACUGCUUUUAUGAGUGAAGAAUAUGACGGUAACUCAUGAAUAAGCACCGGCUAACUACGUG